CCUACGGGAGGCAGCAGUGAGGAAUAUUGGUCAAUGGUCGGGAGCCUGAACCAGCCAAGCAGCGUGAAGGAGGAAUGUACAGAGGAUCGUAAACCUCUUUUGUCAAGGAAUAAAGGGGGGCACGUGUGCCCUUUUGUGUGUACUUUAUGAAUAAGGAUCGGCUAACUCCGUGCCAGCAGCCGCGGUAAUACGGAGGAUCCGAGCGUUAUCCGGAUUUAUUGGGUUUAAAGGGAGCGUAGAUGGGUUGUUAAGUCAGUUGUGAAAGUUUGGGGCUCAACCAUACAAUUGCCAUUGAGACUGGCAUUCUUGAGUACAGUGGAAGUACGCGGAAUGCGUGGUGUAGCGGUGAAAUGCUUAGAUAUCACGCAGAACUCCGAUUGAGAAGGCAGCUUACUAACCUGCCACUGACAUUGAUGCUCGAAAGUGUGGGUAUCAAACAGGAUUAGAUACCCGAGUAGUC
rnacentral:rRNA from 1 species